ACCAAGUACAUGCACAGUAAAGACAACAGAUAACUUUUUCCAGGAGAAGCCAAAAGAAUGAAUCUUUCAUGUUUUGGCUCCUCCAGAUUAAAAGAGCUUCUGUUCAACAUGGACAGAUUGGCUUGAGCUCUGCAUAAGAGACACACAGAGCUCCAGAAACACAUCAGAUGUCUGAACACCAGACCAGACCCAGACACAGCAUCCACUGGAAAUAAGUCACAUCAUCGACCAGGAGUCUACGGAGGAUAAUGCCAGACCGUGUUUGAACAGAGACAGGAGUUAUCAACUUCACCGUAUACAACUAGGUGUUAUCAUGUGAGAGGAAUUGGUCACAUGUGUGAGAUAGAUUUGUUUCAUAAUGAUUUGUGUGAACAGAUCGACAAUCUGUGUGUAAAUGUGUAAUCUGUGUACAUAAAGAUCUUCUACAAAUACUAAAAAAGAUUUGUAAACUCACAAAAAUAUUUUACAAAUAUAAAACGGAUCCGUAAAUACUGAA